UUUUCAUUUUCAGGUGCUUUAUUGAGAUUAGAGAAUUGUUGUACUGAGAAUAAGCAUUCGACGGCCGUCAAGGCAUUUCGAGAAGCUUACUUAUAUAAGGUUUCCCUCUUUGCCUCAACAAUUUUCCUUUCUAAUUGUGUAUGAGUUUGCAUAUGAGUAACAAAAACCCAUAGAGGGUUUGUCAACAAUACAUUUAGUGAACCAGCAAGAGCUGCCACAACGAGCCACGAAAACAUCCUAACAGAACCAUCCCCUCGACCUCUUUUCUUAUCUACAGCUUCUAUAGCCUCAACCCUGUUCUUGAAAACCUGGUAAAAAUAGUAGUAGACACACUGUGACACGAUAGUUCCAAGCAGAUAAUGCUUUAGGCCACUGUAAAGCCCCAACAAGCCUUCGCUUCUAACCACUGUAAGAUUUGAAACUGUAAUAACGACUACCGGGAUCAUCUUCUCUAAAGUCCAAUUAUUAUUUUAGUUGCAUGAAAAUAUCCCUGCGAUAUUACAUAGACACUCAUUGAUCAGUACUCCAACAUGUAUGAAGUGAUGAAUAUUGAAUACCUAAAGAUAUGUAAGCUUUAAACACAUAAAUAUUUGAAAAAAUAUUGGAUCUACUUUCAGUUGGCCCUGAACUAUUUGUGUUUUUACCUUGGCAACAUUUAUUGUUGUCUUAUUUUUGUAUUUUGGACUACCAUCUGUUUUGUUUAAGUUGACAGUUUUGAAUAGUCAUGAAUCAAGAGAGACGUCCACCAAAAAACAAAAAACUUACAAGCUCAAGAUAUGUUUCUUCUUGGUCACUUACAACACUAAAGAAUUCACUGCAAGAAACCAAAAAAACUAUUCAGACGGCAUGUUCUCAAGUGCGAGAACAAGUGCAGCAAGUGCCAUUGUAUUCUACCCCUGAUCUUAUGCUAGAACUACUAGAACAAGCGAAGCAAGUGCCACUGAAUUCUUCCUCUCCCGCGGCACACGAAGUACAGAAAUAAGUGCAACAAUGGAUUCUUGGUUCUACCUCUACUAUAGCAUAAGAAGUACAAAAAUAAGUGCUAAAAAGGCCACUGUGUUCUACCUCUUCUACAGCACAAGCAAAUCCACAAAAUGGGCAGCAAGAGUCACUGCAUUCUACCUGUUCUGCAAAAAAAAAUAACUCUAAAAAAUGGGCUAGAACUGUUACUGAAUUCAACCUCUUCGACAACAAAAGCAAUUUCAAAGAGUGGGCAGCAAAACACAUUGCAUUCUACCUCUUCUGCAGAAUAAGCAGUACCCGAAAAUGGGCAAGAAGUGUUACUGGAUGCUACCACUCAUGAUACAAAUGAACAAUCUACAGGUCCUCCUGCUGAAAAGAAAAAAAGAGGCAGAAUGCAGAUGCAAAGUGUACAUGGGAGGAUUGAACGUAAAUUGAUUGUGUUAAAUGGGCACAACCAACCAAUUGGUCCUACUGUAGGAGUUGUACAAGAGUUGAGUAGUCGGAAUUCGACUUUUUGCCCUCCACUAUUAAGACUUGGAAAAAAGUGAACACAAAAAAGGACAUGUGGAAAUACAUCAAGGUUUGAAGUUCCAAUUUUUAAAUUCUAGUAGAAGAUAUUUUAUAUUUUUUAUACCAACCUUAUUGAACCAACUUUUAGGAGAAAUAUGACAUUCCUAAUGCCGGGCAGAAAUGGGCCUUAAAAAUAAUAUAAGAUGCUUGGAGAACGUAUAAGUGUCGGUUGAAGCGUCAGCAUUAUAAACGCCAUCCCAAUGACAAAUUCGAAUGCAAAAAAGGCCUAAAUAUGUUCCAGAAGUUGAAUUUAAGGCUCUCCUUGAUUAUUGGAACUCUGAGAAAGCUCAAGUAAGAUAAUAAAUGUCACUAAAAUAUACUGCUUUUCAGAAAAAUUAUAUUUUUUAUCAUAUUUAGAGAGCCAUUGUCGCAGGUCCUUCUUGCUGGAUAGUAUAUAUAAUAUAUAUAUAUGAUGACAUAAUAUUGUAGAAAACAUCCUGUACUAAUACGAUGAAUCGAAAAAAGUUGAAGUAUCCUCACACCGUUGGCAAGAGAAGUUUUGCGUUAAUAUGCGAGGUUUGAUGUUCUCUCUAGUUUUUUAUUAAAUAUUAAAUUAUUUCCUUAAUCGAAAAGAUUAUUACGUCAAUUUUGUUAUAACCAGGAAAAGAAAAAGAAGGUGCUGAUGUUGUUUCAAGGAAGGACUUCUUUGUGACAACACGAUCAAGAAAACCGAAUCGAAUCUACAAGGAAUCAUAUGGCGAUAUAAUUUACAAAAUUGCUGAAAUAGAGAAAAUACAAACUCAAGAAAGAGAAGAUGAUGUUGAGCCAGUUGAUGCCUUUGCAUCAGUCAUGGGACCUGAGCAUCUAGGAUUUGUAAGAUUGUAUGGACGCGGAGUUACCAAGACAACAUUGAAAGAGAAAGUGGGAGAUCCUGCACCCUUCGAUGAUCUGCUGCAAUAAAAAAUGAAGGAAAUAGAAGAGAGGAUGAAACAAAGAAUGCUAGAAAAAUUUGAGGAACAAAAGGAUACAAUGUAACAACAAAUUGUAAUUAACAUCAUCGCAAGACUUCAAUGCCUUAACCCUGAUCUACAACUUGAACCUGACUUGGUAGCAUUAUGUGCCCGUUCUUGUACAUCAAAAGAAACUAAAGGUGGAGAAAAUGAAGAAGCUAAUGAUGAGCACAUUGAAGAUCGCUAAGAAGAUAUUAGAUGGUUUUGUAGUUUGUUCUAUGAUAUUUUUGAUAUCGACAACAUGAAACUUGGUCGAUUUUCUACUUUUUUUGGAUAUUAAUCACUAUGGUUGGCUUAUUAUUUUUGAUAUACAAUUUUAAAGAUGAACAUUCAUAAAUGUUCUGUGAUUAUCAUUGAUACAUAUUUUUGUAACAAAUUAAGCUGUUGCAAUAGCAACGUUGAGCUGUUGCUAUAGAAAGUUGUUCCAACAGUUUUUGUAAA